rnacentral:misc_RNA from 1 species
AGCCGCGGUAAUUCCAGCUCCAAUAGCGUAUAUUAAAGUUGUUGCAGUUAAAAAGCUCGUAGUUGAAUUUCGGGAUUGACGUGAUGGUCAUGCCUUAAGGGGUAUGAACUGUUACUGUUGAUUUCUCACCUUCUGGAGAAACUUGAUGUCCUUUAUUGGGUGUCUUGCGGAUCCAGGACCUUUACCUUGAAAAAAUUAGAGUGUUUAAAGCAGGCAUUUUUGCUCGAAUACAUUAGCAUGGAAUAAUAGAAUAGGACGGCAUGGUUCUAUUUUGUUGGUUUCUAGGAUCACCGUAAUGAUUAAUAGGGAUAGUUGGGGGCAUUAGUAUGCAAUUGUCAGAGGUGAAAUUCUUGGAUUUAUUGAAGACUAACUACUGCGAAAGCAUUUGCCAAGGAUGUUUUCAUUAAUCAAGAACGAAAGUUAGGGGAUCGAAGACGAUCAGAUACCGUCGUAGUCUUAACCAUAAACUAUGCCGACUAGGAAUCAGACGAUGUUAAUUUUUUAAUGACUCGUUUGGCACCUUACG